UACAGAGGUCCCGAGCGUUUGUUCGGAUUCAUUGGGCGUAAAGGGUGCGUAGGCGGUCUGCUAAGUUUGAUGUGAAAUCCCGGGGCUCAACCCUGGAAUGGCAUUGAAUACUGGUGGACUAGAGUACUGGAGAGGAAACUGGAAUUUACGGUGUAGCAGUGAAAUGCGUAGAGAUCGUAAGGAAGACCAGUGGCGAAGGCGAGUUUCUGGACAGUAACUGACGCUGAGGCACGAAGGCCAGGGGAGCAAACGGG
rnacentral:rRNA from 1 species